GUAUCCAUAGCUCAGCUGGAUAGAGCAUCACCCUUCUAAGGCGAGUGUCUGGGGCUCGAAUCCUUGUGGGUAUG
rnacentral:tRNA from 1 species